CCAUGUUCUUGCUUAUUACUGUACACAGUGCACAUGCAGCAUGCAUUGCAUGAUACUCUCUCUCUGACAAGGGAGCCGAGGUGGGCGUGAGAGGUAGCACGCCUGGGCGACAGCAACAGACUGCUGCUUACUGACAGGUCAGUGCAGGGAACCACCAGCUGUAAACUACCUGUGAGCCACCAGCAAGAAAUACCUAACACUAAAGUAGAUACAGCUGCAAUACAGGAGAUAGAACAUUUCAAUGAAUUAAUAAUAAAGCAGAGCUGUAAAAGUUGCUGACGUAGGAGUGCAGUUGACUCUACAGCACAAUGUUCACCUGUGCAGGUAUCUUCCAGCAGUCAUUCUACCCCAAGAAAUGAUUAUUACUUUGGAUCUGAUAUGCCGCAAGCGUUCAUCGCCAUGCUCUCAGCAAUGAUUGUCAUCACCACAAUCCCACCAAUGGGCCAAUACGCUGCCUGCAGUAACCAGCGUGAUACCACCAGCGCAGACUGCUGCCUUCUCACCAGGGACACAUGACUGGUACCAUGUUCCAGUUUCCGCUUUUUUGUCCAGUUUACAAGAGUCAGUGUGCAGUGCACAAAAAUGGUGACACAACUCUGUAAGUGACUGUGAGACGGUUCUAGCAGCAGAAAACUGAUCAGGGUUUGGCACAUGAGAAAAUGAUUGAUUGUGUAAAAUAUACGGCUGGAAGUCCUGGACAUCAAAGGUGAUAUGACAGGAAGGAGUUAAUUAUCCUCCAGGGGAACAUCCCUUCCUACUUGAUGGUGAGAGAUGCCAGGCUCUGAUUAGUGUGGUCUUGAUGCCAGAAGAUGUCAGACACAGUCUGUAACUGCCCUGAUCUACAGAGAGCGCUUGACCAGAGAACAAGAAUGGAAACUGAAGUCACAACAUUAGACAUCUCUUCCUGGCCUCUGAAUUCUGAGGGUCCGUUUUCUGGAACAUCGACACUAGAGCAAAUUAACAACUGCCUUUGUGUUCUCCAUUUAUCUAAGAAAAACUGAACCCAGACGACUGCGUAGGAUUAUAGCGCUGAUAGAAGGCACAAAUAAGAGGAAGACAGGAAACAAUGAAGCUGGAGAAAUUUAGUAUGGGAGACCAGUCCUGUUGUGCUGUUUCCUGGAAAAAAUUCUGAUGUCUGCUCAUUGCAUAAGUCCCACACACAAUGUUCCACUGACUGGCCUUGUCACCAUAGAAUUGGAUUUGUCAUGGAAGAGAAUGGAUGGACUGUCUGGCCUUGUGACCAUAUAGUUGGAGACUGUGGCCUUUUCACCACAGAGUUGGAUUUAGCCUGGAAAAGAAUGGACUGUCUGACCUUGUCACCAUGGAGUUGGAUUUGGCCUGGAAGAGAAUGGAUUCUCUGGCUUCAUAACCAUUUGGCCUGCAUUAGAAUGGACUCUCUGGCCUCAUAACCAUAGAGCUGGAUUUAUCCUGGAAGAGAAUAGACUGUCUGGCCUUGUCACCAUAGUGUUGGAUUUGCCCUGGAAGAGAAUGGACUAUCUGGCCUUGUCACAAUUGAGUUGGAUUUAUCCUGGAAGAGAAUGAACUGUCUGGCCUUGUCACCAUAGAUUUGUAUUUGUCCUGGAAGAGAAUAUACUGUCUGGCCUUUUCAUUGUCGAGUUGGAUUUAUCCUGGAAGAGAAUGGACUCAUGGGUUCUUCUGUGGAGAGUUUCUCAUCUUAUCAACCCAUUGUGAGGACACAUGAAAGACAAACUAACUAGGUAAAUGAGAUGGACCCACCACAGCCAGGUCCCAGGCAGUAGAAUGACAGAUGUAUACUUCGCUCAUUUCUUACCCAGUAAUCCAAAUGCAAAAUGUGUUAAAUCUGCAAGUGAAAUCACUAAGCUGCAUGUAAAACAAAGAGAUAACGAAUUCACCAUAAAGUACAUAUGAAACAUUCAUCAAAUCUGCAUAGAAGACAAGCUUUUGUCACUCCUUUUUCUGCACUGGAUGCAAGAGGUUCCCAGUUACGUUAAGCAUCACGGUUGCGAUGUAAUGCCGAUACAACAUAUAAACAGGAGCAGUCACCUGGGAUAUCUCCAGCUUCCCGACCCACGGCUGAAGCAGGACACUUUGCAAUCAUACAGAAGACUCUAAAUAAACUGGAGACUUUGGGAAGGCACCCAGCAGGAGGCUGACGAUUUGCUUAUCUCCAUGAAAACUCCUCUUGAUGCUACGAUACCUAAAUCAUUCUGCUGUGACUGAAGUGCUUAUAACAUAAUUGACAUCUCUAUGAAAGUUGGAGGGCACUAUACCAUGCUUAAAGCGGGGUUACCUUGUUUCCUAAACUCAUCAGCCCAGGAUUUACUCCUACAGUGCGAUGAGAACAGACUGAUUGGGGCUGGAGCUGACAUCAGACACCCUCCCUGAAAACGCUUGGGAACGCCUGCAUUUUUCCAGACACUCCCAAUAAACGGUCAGUUACCACCCACAAACGGCUUCCUCCUGUCAAUCAUCUUGCGAACACCCGUGCGAUCGAAUUUUUCGAACCAUUCCGUCGCUGACCGGCAAUGCCCUUUGUUGCUGUCCGGGGCGCGUGUGCAUUGCGGUGCAUACGCAUUUAUGACCUGAUCACCCGCUGUGCGAAAACGCAGAGCAACGGUCAGGUCUGAAUCCCCCCCUGUGUGUGUUGUUAUCUUCUAAUCACAUGAAUAGCCAGAGCACUCAAUUGUUUAUGUUUACAAUUUGGACACCCACGUCUAUACACGUCACACAGCAAUCGAUUGGGGCAAUUUGCUGUUUUGAAGGUGAUUGUGCAAACAAAUCUGCAAUGGGAUUCACAGAUGGUGGAUGCAGACUAAAAAUUAAUUGGGAUUGUUAAAUCAUGUUGUCCAACAUGGUGGAUUUCACAGACCAAUUGGGGCUGUAGAAUGCUAGUGUGUAGUAACAAUUAGCAGAUUUGCAGACCAGUUCUAGUAAAGUGAUUAGCCUUUGGCAGAUCAGUAUUUGCUGAAAAUGAUCUGAAAAUCAGUGAAAUAUGGGGCUAAUUCAGUAAGGAUAGCAAAUUCUGCUAAUCAGCAGAAUUUUCUAUCCUUUUGCUCGCAUGCUGGGGGCCGCGCAGCGCUGGGCAAGGCCGCCCAGCAUGCUGACCGGCGCCUCCCCCACUUCGACAAGCAGAAAUUGCGAUCGCUUUGCAAUUUCUGCUUGUCAGCAGAAACUCAAGACGACUCCUGCCGGUGCAGCUUAGCUGUGGCCGCAGGAGUCCCGGCGCCAUUUUACCUGCCGCAGAGGCUUUGCGUGAUGUCACACAGCCGCCCCGACACGCCUCCGUUCACCCGCCUACGCCCGUUUGGGUCCCCAACCUCCGCAACGCUCAGUCUUCUCCCUGGAAAUGGAGCGUCGCCGCCCCCCACCACCCACUGCCUGAUUGACAGGCAGAGGCGAUCACUGUUUCUGCUGCCCCCCCCCCCCCCCUGCAGAGAGUGCGGGCAAAUGUGCAGGACGGGCGCUGCGCAUGCACCCGCGGGGCCAUCAUAAAAAACAGGAUAUUAAUUACUUACUAGUAAAUCCUUUUCUCGUAGUACGUAGAGGAUACUGGGGUCCACAUUAGUACCAUGGGGUAUAGAUGGGUCCACUAGGAGCCUUGGGCACUUUAAGAAAUUAAUAGUGUGGGCUGGCUCCUCCCUCUAUGACCCUCCUACCAGACUAAGUCUAGAAACUGUGCCCGAGGAGACGGACAUACCUUGUGAGAAGGAUUUAACAGAACAGUGGUGAGAUUCGAACCAGCACACACCAAACAAGAGGAAAGCCAUGCUAACCAAACUUGAACAGGAACAGCAACGGCUGUACCAAUAACAAUACUUAACGUAAGUAACAGUGCAAGAAAACACAAAGAAUGCCUUUCUGGGCUAGAAUUUGAUGCUCAACUUCCAUGCCGUCAAACGUAGCCGCGGUAAGUCUUGAUAGACGAAUGGCCCUUGUUGCAGAAGGUCCUCUCGAAGAGGUAAAGGCCACGGAUCCUCCAGGAGCAUCUCCAGUAGGUCCGCGUACCAAGCCCUUCUUGGCCAAUCCGGAGCAAUGAGACUUGCUUGAACCUUUUCCCUUUUUAUUCUUCUGAGUAUCCUUGGAAUCAAUGGAAGCGGUGGAAACACGUACACCCUCUGAUAGAGCCAUGGAGUCACCAGAGCAUCUACCGCCACCGCCUGUGGGUCUCUCGACCUGGAGUUUCGUGUUGAGACGAGAGGCCAUCAUGUCGAUCUGUGGAGGUCCCCACCGACUUGUCAAGCACCCGAACACCUCCGGGUGAAGGGCCUACUCUCCUGGAUGGAGAUCGUGUCUGCUGAGGAAGUCUGCUUCCCAGUUGUCCUCUCCUGGAAUGAAGAUUGCGGACAACGCUAUCAUGUGUCUUUUUGUCCAGAGGAGAAUCCUUGUUACCUCUGACAUCGCUGCUCUGCUCUUCGUUCCGCCUUGUCGGUUUAUGUACGUCACCACCGUCACAUUGUCCGACUGAAUGGCUUGAUCUUGAAGAAGAUGUGAAGCCAGCAGAAGGGCGUUGUAUACGGCCCUUAGUUCCAGAAUGUUGAUUGGAAGAGUGGCUUCCUGACUUGUCCAUCUUCCUUGGAAGUGUUGCCCCCUGGUGACUGCUCCCCAACCUCGGAGGCUUGCGUCUGUGGUUAGAAGAAUCCAAUUUUGAAUCCCAAACCUUCGGCCUUCUGUGAGGUGAGGAGUCUGAAGCCAUCACAGCAGAGAAAUCCUGGCUCUUGGCGACAGACGUAUCCUCUGGUGCAUGUGUAGAUGCGAUCCGGACCAUUUGUCCAAUAGAUCCAGCUGGAAUCCAGCUUGCGUGAAACUGCGCCUCGUAAGCCGCUACCAUCUUCCCCAGAAGAAUGCACAGAUGCACCGAUAUUCAGGGAGGUUGUAGAACCUCCUGCACCAUCGACUGAAUUACCAAUGCCUUUUCCAAUGGAAGGAAAACUCUCAUUGCUUCCGUGUCCAGUAUCAUGCCCAGAAACAGAAGUUUCCUCAUCGGUUCCAGGUGAGAUUUUGGUAGGUUCAGAAUCCACCAGUGAUCCUGGAGCAGUUGAGUCGAAAUUGCAAUACUGUCCAGCAGCUUCUCCCUGGAUGAUGGUUUUAUCAGCAGGUCCUCCAGGUACGGAAUUAUGUUCACUCCCUGUUUGCGUAGGAGGAACAUCAUCUCUGCCAUGGCCUUGGUGAAUACCCGUGGCGCCGUUGAGAGGCCAAAUGGCAGGGCCUGGAACUGGUAGUGACAGUCCUGUAAUGCAAACCUUGAAAUUUGAAGAAUCUGUGAGGUUGGAGUUCCUGAAACUCCAGUCUGUAGCCCUGGGUGAUAAGAUCUUUGACCCAGGGAUCUAGUCCUGAUGUUGCCCAUAUGUGACUGAAAUAUCUCAAGCGGGCACCCACCUGCCUGUCUUCCAGGCACUGCGGUCCACCGUCAUGCUCAAGGCUUUGAGGAAGCAGAGCCGCAGGUCUGUUCCUGUGAACCUGCAGGAGCAGGUUUUCUGGGUUUACCUCUAUUACCUUUGAAGGUAGCAGAAGAACCCUUGGAUUUACCGUUGAACUUUGCUGUCCAAAAGGACUGCAGAGUUGGAGCAGAGUAGAUUUUACUAGCUGGGGGUGCUGCAGAUGGGAGGUAUGUAGACUUACCCACCGUAGCCUUGGAUAUUCACGCAUCCAGUACAUCUCCAAACAGGGCGUCACCUGUGAAUGGUAGGCUUUCUACUCCCUUUCUGGAAUCUGCAUCCACAUUCCACUGACGUAGCCAUAAGCCCCGAUGCGCCGACACAGCCAUGGAGCGUGCAUGGAGUAAGCCAAUUUCUUUAAGGGCUUCGACCAUAAAAUUAGCCGAGUCCUGUACAUGUUGUAGGAGUAAAACUAUCUCCCCCCAAUGUAAGGAAUCUAAGUCCUCAAUUAGAGUACCUGACCAUUUGGAAAUGGCCCUAGAGAUCCAAGCGCAAGCUAAAGUGGGUCUCUGGGCCACCCCCACAGCCAUGUACAGAUAUUUGAGAGUGGUGUCAAUAUUGCGGUCAGCCGUGUACUUUAAGGAGGCUGCACCUGGUACUGGUAAGAUUAUGUUACGGGACAACCUAGAAAUUGAGGCAUCAACAAUUGGCGAGACUUCCCACUUUUUCCUAUCAUCCUGCGGAAAAGGGAAAGAUGCUAUUAACUGUUUAGGGAUCUGACACUUCUUGUCAGGAGUGAGCCAAGUUUCUUCAAAGAUAAUUUAACUCUUUAGAUGCUGGGAACGUAGCAGAGGAUUUCUUUUUUUAUAUUGAAAUGAGAUUCCUCAGUGUCCUCUAUGACUGUAUCAGGAAUGGGCAGGACCUCCCUAAUAACCUCUAUUAGGGUCUAUAUUCCCUGUGACAGAGCUGCAUUCUCCCCACCUAAAUCCACAUCACCGUCAUCUGCAUCAGUGUCAUCAUCAUCGGUGUCAGUAUGCAGGAUCUGUGCCCGUGUACUUUUUUGUGGACGAAUGGCAGGGGUCUGAGAUGCUGGCAUGGGCAAUGUAUCUCUAUUCAUCAGGUCAUUCAUAGACUUAAGUAUUGCGUCCCUUUCUCAGUUUGGGACAAUUUAUUAGAAAUGUUUGCGAUCAUCCCAUUCAGUGAAUCUAACCACACUGGUUCUGACCCACUAGCCUGAGAAGGUGUACUAUCUUGGGGACGAGAAGCACUCUGCAGUGCAGGACACACACUCUUUUGAAAUGGCAACAAGUAAAAACACAGCCACACAGUAGAGAAGAGGGUGAAACACAGUUAACCCACGAGGGCCCUCUAGGGAGACACAGAGUAUGAUGGAGCCAGCUACAACGCGCCCCUAUGGCCAAUAUAAAACUUAGCCGGGUUGCAAACUAAGUACCCUUAAUAGGGGCUUAGUAUACCAUUACUGCUCCCCCCUUUUGCUAUAACCCCCUGGUUGCGCUGAGGUAAGCUUGAGUCUUGAAGGAGGAGCUGCGCGUCCCUGUGAGACUGUUCAGUGAGAUCUUCAGAGGGAAAAUGGCGCUGGUGAGCUGCUGGAUCCGCUCAUAGUGAAGCCCCACCCCCUUAAUGGCGCGCGGUCUUCCCGUUUUUUUAUACUGGCCUGAGGUAUUUAAUGUGCUUAACAGUGGGUUAAAACCCCUGUAAGCGUUAGCGCCAGUGUGGGUAGUUUUUGUGACUUCAGCUCGACCCUCACCACGUAUACACACCUAAGCAUGUUACUGAAGUCUGGAGCCGCAGCCUUGUCAGCGCUGCGCUCCUACCCUUGUGCCGCCAUUACCGCUGGUGACCCGCUAACCGGGACGCCGGCGUUCUACUCACCACUCUUCUUUCUUCUGGCUCUGUUAGGGGCGGGUGGCAUGCUGCGGGAGGGUACGCUCGCCGUGGUGGGGCUUGAGAAUGAGCUCAGGGUCAUGUCAGCGGAGAAACGGGACCAUUAACUCUUUAGGAAGUUGGGCCAUUCUCCCCCCUAAGUCCCACGAAGCAGGCAUGCUGGUGCCACCCAGCAGUGCCUGAAAAUAACAAACAGAAAAUAAAUGCAGAAAACUCUUCAGAAGCUUCCCUAAGCGUGACCGGCACAUUUUCGAAACGGAGUCUGGUAGGAGGGGCAUAGAGGGAGGAGCUAGUCCACACUAUUAAUUUCUUAAAGUGCCCAAGGCUCCUAGUGGACCAGUCUAUACCCUAUGGUACUAAUGUGGACCCCAGUAUCUUCUAGGACAAAAGAGAAAUUCCGGAUGGAUUGCGAUUUGCGAUCCAACCUGAAUUAGCCCCUAUAUCUGUUAUAUAUGGGCACAGAUUGGUGGAUUGGGGAAACUUUAAAUCUGGAAAAAUAUCUUAGAAUCUGCAAAUUCUGUCUUUUUGUGAUUGCUGAUGUAUGGGGGCCUUAUGGCCAAAAGGAAAAUGAUACCAUAUGUAAAAGCUUGCCUGAUCACCAGAAUCAGCACAUGAGUAUGGCUAAUAUAUAAUAGGAAUAUUUUGAGCAGACUGCAGAUUAAUAUGAAUUAUACAUAGAGCAGUGGACCUAACAUAACUGACAUGAGCUGCUUUGCCAUUUCAGCUUUUUGUUCUAUAUAAGCAGAACUUUGCACUGUUUAUGAGUUUUUGGGUGUAAAUGUAUUCAUUCUGAUUUAUUUAGAAUACAUAUUUACAAAUGACAUAUAAAAAGACACUAACUUGAAAAAAUAUAUUAUUUUUAAAUGUUAUUCUUUUAAAAAUAGGUACAAAAUGACAAUAAAAACAUGCUUUAUUUUAUAUUGUUUGUUCAUUUACUGUGGAUGUAGCUUUUCAAUGAUUUUAUAUGAGCAUUUUAAAAGAUAUUUCUUGGUUCAUUCACUCAAGCUUUAGACACAGGGCUGUUGUCUGUAGCAUAAUGCAGUGUUUCCCAAAUUUGGGUUGGAGGUUCAGAGCCAAAUCAAAUUAAUUAUGGCCAAUGUGAUAGGCAAAACCAGUGUUAGUUCUGCCAAUCAUAAAAUAUGUGAAAAACAUAAGCACAACCUUAUCCACCCCCACAGAACUGAAACUAAGGAUGAACCUUAAUUUAAUAAUUAAUAAGAAAUCUUUGGGUUAGGUAUGCUAUGAAAAUAGGUUGAUACUCUAGGGCACUGUGAUUCAAAACAGUUUGGGAACUACUGGCAUAGUGGACAGUGAUAAACUAUUACAGCACCACUAACAAUAAAAGAGUAAAAAUAAACCACACAAUGGUAAUUGCAAAUCCAUCUACAAAAAGCUGCACUGAAAAUGUAUGGGGGCAAGGGAAAACAGUUUAUUUUGAUGUUGCAUAUAUUAAUUCUGUAUAAGCUGAACUUUAAGAAAAAAAAAUAUCUCCUAUUAAGAAUUUUUAAGUCU